GACGAACGCUGGCGGCGUGCCUAAUACAUGCAAGUAGAACGCUGAAGGAGGAGCUUGCUUCUCUGGAUGAGUUGCGAACGGGUGAGUAACGCGUAGGUAACCUGCCUGGUAGCGGGGGAUAACUAUUGGAAACGAUAGCUAAUACCGCAUAAUAGUAGAUGUUGCAUGACAUUUGCUUAAAAGUUGCAAUUGCAUCACUACCAGAUGGACCUGCGUUGUAUUAGCUAGUUGGUGGGGUAACGGCUCACCAAGGCGACGAUACAUAGCCGACCUGAGAUGGGGAUCGGCCACACUGGGACUGAGACACGGCCCAGAGGCAUACAGGAGGCAGCAGGAGGGAAUCGUCGGCCAUGGACGGAAGUCUGACCGAGCAACGCCGAGUGAGUGAAGAAGGUUGUCGGAUCGGAAAGCUCUGUUGUAAGAGAAGAACGAGUGUGAGAGUGGAAAGUUCACACUGUGACGGUAUCUUACAAGAAAGGGACGGCUAACUACGUG
rnacentral:rRNA from 1 species